GGGGGUGCGGCACGGCCGGUGCCGGCGGGGAGGCUGGUGCGGCCGGCACCGGCGGUCCCCGCUGGAGUAUUGGAAAAAUGGAGGCGCAGUCGUCGAUUGAAACAUGAACGGCUGAAACUAAAUCAGCAAAUCACAGAACAGCCGCCGACCACCAAACAUUGCAGUGUUGCUGCAGCGUGGAUGCAGGUAUUCUACUGCCCUCGUGCUCAACCUAAUUUGCUUGCGGUACUUGGAUUGGAGCAGACACCUACCGUACCUCUCGCACCUUCAUCUUGAAUUCAGUGGGUUAUUUCAUUAGCUGUUUAUUUAGCAUGUUAGAUCUUUUUUUUGAAUGGUCGCAUGUUAGAUCUUCAAUUGUAAACUUUAAACUAAUUUUAUUUUGCCGCUCUUUUAGUUUGUACUAUCAAUAUUUUUUCUUCAAAAUUAAAUAUAUAUCAUGAGCACUACUAUCUCUUUUACCAUAUUAUAAAUAAAAAAUAUUUAGUUUAAGGGGUCCAUAAUUUUUUAUUUGCUCGAGGAUGCUAGAAAUCGUAGAGCCAGCCCUGGACGUUGAAGAUACAAGCUAGCGUUUGAUAUAGUCUUCCCGACCAUAGAACGAGGGAAAUCGGAAGAUUUUUCUCUUCUUUGCUGCCAAGGGAUGUCACGUCUUUCUUCAAACAAAAGGGGUGUAACGUCGCUGUUCUUUUCAAUGCCCGUAAAAGCUGUUGAAAUUUCUAGCUAGAUGGCAAUGAAAUUAAUGAUGGAAAGCAACUUCAUCUUGGUAGGCAGAGGAGACUUGUGGGGUCAGUUCAAUAAUUCACCCACCAAUUGAUGGGUGUGUCUGUCUUCCUCUUACACAUCAACCAGUUAUAAAAAUACAGAAGCAACCACACAAACGCUGCCUGCAAUACCAUUGUUCUUUCUUGGAAACUUACAAAGAACUCUGCUUUCCCGUGUCACAACGAAACACAGUACCCCUGCACUUUCUUUUUUUUUUUGAUACAAACAUACCUGCAUUUGUAUUAAGAGUACACAAACACGACCAGGUACAGGUAGCCGCUAGAAGGAUUCCAAGGACACAGCUGUCCCAGCCACACUUCACAGAAGACCCCAACAAAACAAAAAAUUACAAAGAGGCCCAAGGGGACUACUGAGCUUGCUGCCACCGACGAGCACCACCAAGCAGCACCACCGAAGCGGACGCCAACGGCGGAGCAGACCGAAGAACCACAUACCAGGAUCUGGAGGAGAACCAUCUCGCCUUGGCUUCGACACGAGCCGCAAAGGAGACCCGUCCCAGAGAACGGAAAGGCAUCGCCUGUAUACCAUCGGCCGGGGACACACCCUGCUCUCCCUAGAUCCGGGACCAAGGUUCGCCAUCGGAGACCGACGAAGAAGAAACCAAAGCCCCCAGACCGGCUCACCACAGAACCCGCAGCUGGUCCUACACCUUCAGAAAAGAGAGUCGCCUCCGCCGCCGCAACCGGAGGAAGCAGCACCGGCAAGCAACGGGAAGCCCCUGUACACUCCCUCCCAAGACCCAAAGCACUGGAUCUAGAGAAGGAAACCCUCACAUACCUCACGGAAGCACCGGGGUCAGCACCACCGUAGCGGUGAAGAGGAAGGAGGGACUUAUUCCAAAACGACGACGCCGCACCCGCCUCGUCGCCGCCGCCAAGACACGAAACCCUAGAAAAACUAGGACCUAAACUACCAGCCAACGGGGAACCAACGGUCUUCCCCACCUCGCGAAGCCUGGACGGCCAUCGGAGGCGAA